GGAAGUAAAAGUCGUAACAAGAUCUCCGUUGGUGAACCAGCGGAGGGAUCAUUACUGGAAUCGCAAGAUCCCACAACCCUGUGAACCUACCGAAACGUUGCCUCGGCGGGUGCCCGGCCUCUGCGCCGGGCGCUGCGCCCGCCGGCGGCCCCCUACUCUGUCUCUGCAGCGUGGCAUCUCAGAGUCCCAGAAAACAAGUCAAAACUUUCAACAACGGAUCUCUUGGCUCUA
rnacentral:misc_RNA from 1 species